AGUUAAUGAACUUGAAUAAGUAUAUAUUUUGAAAAUAUAAGAUAGAAAUUAUCUUUUCUAUUAACUU
rnacentral:tRNA from 1 species